rnacentral:rRNA from 1 species
AGCAGCCGCGGUAAUUCCAGCUCCAAUAGCGUAUAUUAAAGUUGUUGCAGUUAAAAAGCUCGUAGUUGAAUUUCGGGAUCAGUAGGUUGGUCAUGCCUUCGGUAUGUACUGGUCUCACUGAUUCCUCCCUCUUGAAGAACCGUAAUGUCAUUAAUUUGAUGUUGCGGGGAAACAGGACUGUUACUUUGAAAAAAUUAGAGUGUUUAAAGCAGGCUCACGCUUGAAUACAUUAGCAUGGAAUAAUGAAAUAGGACGUUCGAUCCUAUUUUGUUGGUUUCUAGGAUUGACGUAAUGAUUAAUAGGGAUAGUUGGGGGCAUUAGUAUUCAAUUGUCAGAGGUGAAAUUCUUGGAUUUAUUGAAGACUAACUACUGCGAAAGCAUUUGCCAAGGAUGUUUUCAUUAAUCAAGAACGAAAGUUAGGGGAUCGAAGACGAUCAGAUACCGUCGUAGUCUUAACCAAUAAACUAUGCCGACUAGGGAUCGGAUGAUGUUAAUUUUAAUGUACUCAUUCGGCUACCG